UACGGAGGGUGCUAGCGUUGUUCGGAAUCACUGGGCGUAAAGGGCGUGUAGGCGGUCUGUUAAGUCUGAUGUGAAAUCCCCUCGCUCAACGAGGGAACUGCGUCGGAUACUGGCAGACUUGAGUCCCGGAGAGGAAGGUGGAACUCCCGGUGUAGCGGUGAAAUGCGUAGAUAUCGGGAGGAACACCGGUGGCGAAGGCGGCGCCCUGGGUAGAUACUGACGCUGAGGUGCGAAAGCGUGGGGAGCAAACAGG
rnacentral:rRNA from 1 species